rnacentral:rRNA from 1 species
CGGACUGUAGGCUGCAACUCGCCUACACGAAGUUGGAAUUGCUAGUAAUCGUGGAUCAGCAUGCCAUGGUGAAUACGUUCCCGGGUCUUGUACACACCGCCCGUCACACCAUGGGAGCUGGUAACACCCGAAGUCAGUAGUCUAACCGCAAGGAGGACGCUGCCGAAGGUGGGAUUAGCGACUGGGGGUGAAGUCGUAACAAGGUAUC